UGGGGAAUAUUGCACAAUGGGCGCAAGCCUGAUGCAGCCAUGCCGCGUGUAUGAAGAAGGCCUUCGGGUUGUAAAGUACUUUCAGCGGGGAGGAAGGGAGUAAAGUUAAUACCUUUGCUCAUUGACGUUACCCGCAGAAGAAGCACCGGCUAACUCCGUGCCAGCAGCCGCGGUAAUACGGAGGGUGCAAGCGUUAAUCGGAAUUACUGGGCGUAAAGCGCACGCAGGCGGUUUGUUAAGUCAGAUGUGAAAUCCCCGGGCUCAACCUGGGAACUGCAUCUGAUACUGGCAAGCUUGAGUCUCGUAGAGGGGGGUAGAAUUCCAGGUGUAGCGGUGAAAUGCGUAGAGAUCUGGAGGAAUACCGGUGGCGAAGGCGGCCCCCUGGACAAAGACUGACGCUCAGGUGCGAAAGCGGGGGGAGCAAACAGG
rnacentral:rRNA from 1 species